GACGAACGCUGGCGGCGUGCCUAAUACAUGCAAGUCGAACGCAGUGGGGACGGGUGAGUAACACGUGGGUAACCUCCCAUCAGAGGGGAUAACACUUGGAAACAGGUGCUAAACCGAUACUGAUGGAUGGACCCGCGGUGCAGUGGCUAGUUGGUGAGGUAACUGCUCACCAAGGCCACGAUGCAUAGCGGGCCUGAGAGGGUGAUCGGCCACACUGGGACUGAGACACGGCCCAGACUCCUACGGGAGGCAGCAGUGGGGAAGCUUGCGCAAUGGGCGAAAGUCUGAGCGAGCCACGCCGCGUGAAUGAAGAAGGUUUGCGGGUCGUAAAGCUCUGUUGGUAGAGAAGCGGUACCUAACCAGAAAGCCACGGCUAACUACGUGCCAGCAGCCGCGGUAAUAC
rnacentral:rRNA from 1 species